UCCCUGGUGGCUCAGACGGUAAAGCAUCUGUCUACAAUGCAGGAGACCCAGGUUCGAGCCUGGGUUAGGAAG
rnacentral:tRNA from 1 species